CCUGCCGCCGGGGAUGGGCCCGGCGGGGUCCGGGCAGCUGCCAGGCGCGGCCCCGUCCCGGGCUGCGUGUACCGCCCUGCGAGCGCGGGGGCCUGUUCCCUACAUACAUACGCACAUGCCUUUUUCCUGGCUAAAGCUGACAGAAACAAGGAACAAGAGAAGACUCAAGAGAGAAUCUCAUCACAAGUAUUCUGGUACUUAAAAGGCUUCUCCAGAGAGGAUGGAGUCUCUCUCUUCGUAGGGAAGAAAAAGUACAAUGGGUACUGGUUGUGCCAGGUUUCAUCUUGAUACAAGAGAUAUUUUUUUUACAUUAAGAAUAACCAUUGUCUAGAACAACAUCCAGGUUCAUGGUGAACUUGCCUUCACUGGAAGUUUUCAAGACACAACUGAGCAGGGUGCUAGAUAAUUCAUCUAGCUUCCCUUUCCCGCACAAGGUUGGACUAGAUAAUCUUUUAAGGUUCCUUCCAGCCUUGGCUGUACUAUGUUCCUAGGAAUAUGCUAGCAGGCUGGAAACAUCUCACAGAAGGCACCAUGAUUCUUGUGUGGCUUGCAAUAACCAAUGGAACAAUGUGGAACAUGGACCUGCCACUCCAGCCUUGUUGGGUGCACAGCCACGUCCUCUGUGUGACUCUGCUUUCUUGUUGCUUGUGGAUGUGUUUGGAAAACAGCCUAUGAAUGCACAUGGAGGACCCAAGGAUGCCACCAGAUAAUCAUAUUUCUAAUUGAUAUGUGAGUCAUAUGUUAUGUGUGCUGAAAGUCAGUGUUCUGUAAUGUAAAAGAAAAAUCAAAAAGAUCUGAUUCUUUUACAGAAGUACUUGUUAACACAUUUUGCCAUGUAUCAUUAGGACAGUAUUUCUUUCUAGAAGGUAUCUUUAAAAAAUGAUCAGUCAAAAUCAUCUGUAAUCAAGAGAACACAUUUCUAUCAGUGGAAGAAUAAAGCCAAUAAAAUUAUAGAAGGAAGUACACAGUUUAUAAUUUUUUGUGUUUUCUCUAGAAAGGAGAGAAUUUCUUGUUCUAGACUAGAAGCUUCUAGUCCUGUUUCGUAAAAGCAGCCUUCUUCAGGCCAUUACUGUAGCUGUUGCUUCAACAGAUCAAUGUAAUAGAUGUGAUGAGCCAGUUAACUUGCUAAGGCCUAACUUUUGGCAUAAUCUCAGCAUUUCAUUGUCUAAUUCAUUUACCUUUAUGAGACCUGGAGGAAUGUGCCCUCUUGUGAAUAUCAAUUUGUGUCCAUUGGUCUCUACUCAUGAAGAGUAAGUUGCUGGUACUGCCACCACUAAUGGCAUCUGAGCUGACUGGUAUCCUGGAAUAAUGUAUGCAUUAUAGGCCAGAUCACAUUGUACAAAUCAUACGUAAGACAUAUGCAAUCCAAACAACAGCCAACAAUGUUAAUACUGUCAGCAUGCAAAA